GAUGAAGAACGUAGCGAAAUGCGAUAAGUAAUGUGAAUUGCAGAAUUCAGUGAAUCAUCGAAUCUUUGAACGCACCUUGCGCUCCUUGGUAUUCCGAGGAGCAUGCCUGUUUGAGUGUCAUGAAAUUCUCAACCUUUUCAGCUUUCUUUGUUGAUCAGGCUUGGAUGUGGGAGUAUGCGGGCUUCUCAGAAGUCGGCUCUCCUGAAAUGCAUUAGCGGGACCUUUGUUGCCUGGCUUUGGUGUGAUAAUUAUCUACGCCAUUGUAGUCAAGCAGCUUAAAAGGAGGUUUCAGCUUCUAACCGUCUCCCCUGAGACAACUUUUUGACAAUUUGACCUCAAAUCAGGUAGGACUACCCGCUGAACUUAAGCAUAUCAAUAAGCGGAGGA
rnacentral:misc_RNA from 1 species